UAAAAGCCUAAAGUAGGGAGCAAAGACCUAGCAGCGCAGAGAAGUCUAACAUAUUUUCGGCGACAUUGGUAGCUGUUCUCAUUAGCUAGUAAACUAAGGCUUAUGCGAGAUAAGUAAACUAAAGCCUAUGCGAGAUAAGUGGAGAACAGUCUCCGGUAGGGGGCAUAGUGAAGGUGGUGGUAAAUCGGUCCUCUCUCUAAUAGAAACUAAGCUUCGGGGGGAAAAAAGAACCUAGCUGUGUGGGCUGGAGUCGCGGGGUCGCGCUACUUAUCGACUAGGGGAAGAGCUGGCCGGCCGCUUCGUGCCCGCCAAACCGGCUGUGUUAGUUUUAGCGCCCGCCACCAAGCAAGUAGGACGUGGGUGGGUGUGCGAAUGGGUCUAGAGCGCGCGGCGGCGGUCCCGUUACCACAGACUCGGGCUGGGGCUGGGGCUGGGGCUGGGGCUGCAGAGGGAGGACGGGGGGCGAGGCUUGGGAUCGGUGUUUGGGACGGAGGCCCGUCGGUUCUGGUGCCGGAAGUUCGCGCUCCUCGCGGUGUUCGCGUUCCUCGUCUUCGCCCUCAAGUUCGCCGUCGCGUUCCUCGUCUUCGCCCUCGCGUUCCUCGUCGCGUUCCUCGUCUUCGCCCUCCGCGGCGUUCGCGUUCCUCCUCUUCGCGCUAGCGGCGUUCGCGUUCCUCCUCUUCGCGCUCGCGUUCGCCGUCGCCUUCGCCCUCCUGUGGGAGCGGGAGCGCGAGCGGGUCACCCUCGGGGAGCCACGGGGCCGACGGCGGAGGCGGGGGACGCGCGGUGGGCUUCUGUCCGGGCCCGGCGCACUGGGCAGGAGCGGGCGCCCGCGGCACGGGAGGCGGAGGACCUAGACCCCGGGAGGUCGCCUUGGGAGGCGGCUGUCCCGGAUCCCUGCGCCCGAGACUCGGGCUCCCCUAAGAUGCUCCGCCUCGCUCCCUCUGCCCCACCAAGGACACGGACCACACGCUCCCCUAGCCGCGGUUCCGCCCGUACGCCAAGGGCCCGACGACCACGUCGUGCGGCCGAGCCAGCGGGCCCGGUUCUCCGCCGAGUGCGGCGGCGGCGGGACCCGACGGACGAGCCUGUUGCGGGAAAGGCUUUACGUCCAUCUAACACUGUUGCUACCGCGAACACUAGUUCGACUCGUGAACCUACUAAGACUUUCACGUCUUUACCUCCACCGGAUUAAAACAAGAAGCACGAUUCAAUCUCUAAGAAAGAACCAGUCUUUCGAAUCUUUAUGUACGCUAGACCAAACUACAUACCUAUUGGACCUACCAGUAACAGUUGCGGACGCAGAUUAGAUCAAGCUACGAGACCAUAACAACUACGAACAAAAAUUGUAGAUUUCGACAUAAUUUUCAAGUCAAAAUGAUAAAAAGUCGGC
rnacentral:rRNA from 1 species